rnacentral:tRNA from 1 species
GGAAAGGUGGUUGAGCGGUUUAAGAUGUAGCAUUGGAAAUGCUAUGUAGGCUUUUCUAUGCCUACCGAGGGUUCGAAUCCCUCUCUUUCCU